rnacentral:rRNA from 1 species
AACGAACGCUGGCGGCAUGCCUAACACAUGCAAGUCGAACGAGACCUUCGGGUCUAGUGGCGCACGGGUGCGUAACGCGUGGGAACCUGCCCUUAGGUUCGGAAUAACUCCCCGAAAGGGGUGCUAAUACCGGAUAAUGUUUUCGGGCCAAAGAUUUAUCGCCUUUGGAUGGGCCCGCGUUGGAUUAGCUAGUUGGUAGGGUAAAAGCCUACCAAGGCGACGAUCCAUAGCUGGUCUGAGAGGAUGAUCAGCCACACUGGGACUGAGACACGGCCCAGACUCCUACGGGAGGCAGCAGUGGGGAAUAUUGGACAAUGGGCGAAAGCCUGAUCCAGCAAUGCCGCGUGAGUGAUGAAGGCCUUAGGGUUGUAAAGCUCUUUUACCCGGGAUGAUAAUGACAGUACCGGGAGAAUAAGCUCCGGCUAACUCCGUG